rnacentral:rRNA from 1 species
CAGGUAGGAAUACCCGCUGAACUUAA